rnacentral:rRNA from 1 species
GACGAACGCUGGCGGCGUGCCUCAAACAUGCAAGUCGAGCGAGGUGAGACCGACCCGCAAGGGGAGGUUGAACCUAGCGGCAAACGGGUGAGUAACACGUGGGUAACCUGCCUGAAAGAUUGGGAUAACGGCUCGAAAGAGUCGCUAAUACCGGAUAAUGUCUUGGUGCUGCAUGGCACCGGGAAGAAAGGGGAAACCCGCUUUCAGAUGGGCCCGCGCCCCAUCAGUUAGUUGGUAAGGUAACGGCUUACCAAGGCGACGACGGGUAGCCGGUCUGAGAGGACGAUCGGCCACACUGGGACUGAGACACGGUCCAGACUCCUACGGGGGGCAGCAGUGGGGAAUCUUCCACAAUGGGCGAAAGCCUGAUGGAGCGACGCCGCGUGAGCGAAGAAGGCCUUCGGGUGUAAAGCUCUGUCUGGAGGGACGAAGGAAGUGACGGUACCUCCGGAGGAGCCACGGCUAACUACGUG